rnacentral:rRNA from 2 species
CCACCCUUUAAUGUUUGAUGUUCUAACGUGGACCCGUAAUCCGGGUUGCGGACAGUGUCUGGUGGGUAGUUUGACUGGGGCGGUCUCCUCCUAAAGAGUAACGGAGGAGCACGAAGGUUGGCUAAUCCUGGUCGGACAUCAGGAGGUUAGUGCAAUGGCAUAAGCCAGCUUGACUGCGAGCGUGACGGCGCGAGCAGGUGCGAAAGCAGGUCAUAGUGAUCCGGUGGUUCUGAAUGGAAGGGCCAUCGCUCAACGGAUAAAAGGUACUCCGGGGAUAACAGGCUGAUACCGCCCAAGAGUUCAUAUCGACGGCGGUGUUUGGCACCUCGAUGUCGGCUCAUCACAUCCUGGGGCUGAAGUAGGUCCCAAGGGUAUGGCUGUUCGCCAUUUAAAGUGGUACGCGAGCUGGGUUUAGAACGUCGUGAGACAGUUCGGUCCCUAUCUGCCGUGGGCGCUGGAGAACUGAGGGGGGCUGCUCCUAGUACGAGAGGACCGGAGUGGACGCAUCACUGGUGUUCGGGUUGUCAUGCCAAUGGCACUGCCCGGUAGCUAAAUGCGGAAGAGAUAAGUGCUGAAAGCAUCUAAGCACGAAACUUGCCCCGAGAUGAGUUCUCCCUGAGACUUAGAGUCUCCUGAAGGAACGUUGAAGACGACGACGUUGAUAGGCCGGGUGUGUAAGCGCAGCGAUGCGUUGAGCUAACCGGUACUAAUGAACCGUGAGGCUUAACCUU